rnacentral:snRNA from 1 species
GUGCUCACUUCAGCAGUACAAAUACUAAAAUUGGAACGAUACAGAGAAGAUUAGCAUGGCCCCUGGCUAGGAUGACAUGCAAAUUCGUGAAGCAUUUUAUAUAUAU